GAUGAACGCUGGCGGCGUGCCUAAUACAUGCAAGUCGAGCGAAUGGAUUAAGAGCUUGCUCUUAUGAAGUUAGCGGCGGACGGGUGAGUAACACGUGGGUAACCUGCCCAUAAGACUAGGAUAACUCCGGGAAACCGGGGCUAAUACCGGAUAACAUUUUGAACCGCAUGGUUCGAAAUCGAAAGGCGGCUUCGGCUGUCACUUAUGGAUGGACCCGCGUCGCAUUAGCUAGUUGGUGAGGUAACGGCUCACCAAGGCAACGAUGCGUAGCCGACCUGAGAGGGUGAUCGGCCACACUGGGACUGAGACACGGCCCAGACUCCUACGGGAGGCAGCAGUAGGGAAUCUUCCGCAAUGGACGAAAGUCUGACGGAGCAACGCCGCGUGAGUGAUGAAGGCUUUCGGGUCGUAAAACUCUGUUGUUAGGGAAGAACAAGUGCUAGUUGAGUAAGCUGGCACCUUGACGGUACCUAACCAGAAAGCCACGGCUAACUACGUGCCAGCCGCCGCAGUAA
rnacentral:rRNA from 1 species